rnacentral:rRNA from 1 species
GAGUUUGAUCCUGGCUCAGGAUGAACGCUGGCGGCGUGCUUAACACAUGCAAGUCGAACGAACCUUCGGGUUAGUGGCGGACGGGUGAGUAACGCGUGAGAAUCUGCCCUCAGGAGGGGGAUAACGGCUGGAAACGGCCGCUAAUACCCCAUAUGCCGCGAGGUGAAAUGAAUUUCGCCUGAGGAUGAGCUCGCGUCUGAUUAGCUAGUUGGUGGGGUAAGAGCCUACCAAGGCACCGAUCAGUAGCUGGUCUGAGAGGAUGAUCAGCCACACUGGGACUGAGACACGGCCCAGACUCCUACGGGAGGCAGCAGUGGGGAAUUUUCCGCAAUGGGCGAAAGCCUGACGGAGCAACGCCGCGUGAGGGAUGAAGGCCUCUGGGCUGUAAACCUCUUUUAUCAAGGAAGAAGAUCUGACGGUACUUGAUGAAUAAGCCACGGCUAAUUCCGUGCCAGCAGCCGCGGUAAUACGGGAGUGGCAAGCGUUAUCCGGAAUUAUUGGGCGUAAAGCGUCCGCAGGCGGUUUUGUAAGUCUGUUGUUAAGGCGUGGAGCUUAACUCCAUUUCAGCAAUGGAAACUGCAAGACUAGAGUGUGGUAGGGGCAGAGGGAAUUCCCGGUGUAGCGGUGAAAU